rnacentral:lncRNA from 1 species
AUGUGUACUUACAUCUGUCUCAACACAUGAUGUAUGCACAUAUGUCUCAACACUUGGCUAAAAUAUAUUUUUGCAAAAUAUAGCCAACAUACAAAAACCCAACAGAAAGUUUUUUUUGGUACAAUUGAAAGUUUUACUUAGGAAGUGCACUAGGAAGUUAUUGGUACAAGUGCACUAGGCGCUUCAUGUUUCACCCCAGGUGAAACCACGAGCUUCUUCUCCACACCCAUCCAGUAUAUCGUUCUUUCACCCAAGGUGCAACCAAUUUCACCCCAAGCGGAAUUUCCAGUUACUCACGUAGGCAGCAACACACAACAAUUCGCCCCAGGCUAAACAUCUUUCGCCGCAAGCGAAAAUUCCAGUUAAUCAAGGUUGCAGAGCUUCAGUUUUUCGCCAUAUAGGCACAACUUCUUUAGCUUGGGGGGAAAUUUUCAGUAAAUCAUCCAAAAUUAUCCUUCUUUCUUCCUUUGCAAGUAAUCUCACUUUUCAUGCAUUUUCUUCAUUUCUGAAGAGUAAAAAGCUCCAAUUCCUCCUAACUACCUUAAAUUUGGUCACUUUUAAUGUGUAAUAACGGGAGUUAUCACUAAUCAUAUACCUCUGUCGUUGUUCAGCAUCCAAGUUCAACAGCUACUCGUAAUCUCAAGACAUCUAAAGAGUAAGUUAUCUUCAGAGAUAUAAACAAAGUAAGUUACAUUGACAUCAAGGUACAAGAAAAAUAGAAAAAGUCACUUUAGAAAAAAAUAUUACACAAAGUGUUAAUACUUAUAGUUACAUCGAGGUUUCCUUUUCUCCACUAUCAUUGGAUUGUGAAGAAGCAAUACCAGUUAAGGAAUGGUCCACAAAGACCGGGAUUACCUCUGUAGUUUUCCUCAACAAAGAGCUCAGCAUUUUUUCCCUUGAAUAUUUUCUGUAAAUUCGAAAGUAUAAGUUUGACCUGAACAUGCAAAGUGUGGUAUUAAGUAAAUUUCUUAAGCAAAGAGUUGGACGUCACGGUAAGGUAUAACCCUAAACCUGUGGUAGGUUACAAUCCAGUAACCUCUAAUGCCUUCUUACUUCCUUCCCUAUCACUGAUAUUUGUUGGGACAAGCAAGCAAUAGGCGCAAACCGAGACUAUGAGCACACACACACAAACGCUUUGUAAUUUGAGAAAGAUGAAGAAAACGAGAGAAAAAUAGUGUUUUCUAUUGAUUAAGAGAAUGAAAGUUAUUGAUACAAUCAUGAUCUAACACUACUUAUAGAUUUUGAGAAACACAAGGUGGUUAACUUGUAAAGCAAGUAACUAACUAA